GACGAACCGUGCGAACGUUAUUCGGAAUCACUGGGCUUAAAGCGCGUGUAGGCGGCCUGGCACGUCGGGCACUGAAAGCCCCCGGCUCAACCGGGGAACGGGUCCCGAUACGACCGGGCUGGAGGGGGGUAGGGGGCGCUGGAACUUCCGGUGGAGCGGUGAAAUGCGUUGAGAUCGGAAGGAACGCCCGUGGCGAAAGCGAGCGCCUGGGCCCCGCCUGACGCUGAGACGCGAAAGCCAGGGGAGCGAACGGG
rnacentral:rRNA from 1 species